UGCAUCGGCCGGGAAUCGAACCCGGCCCGCUCGCGUGGCAGGCGAGCAUUCUACCACUGAACCACCGAUGC
rnacentral:tRNA from 1 species